rnacentral:rRNA from 1 species
UUCAGUGGCGGACGGGUGAGUAACGCGUGAGAAUCUGCCAAAGGUUCGGGACAACCACUGGAAACGGUGGCUAAUACCGAAUGUGCCGUAAGGUGAAAGAUUUAUUGCCUUUUGAUGAGCUCGCGUCUGAUUAGCUAGUUGGUGGGGUAAAGGCUUACCAAGGCGGCGAUCAGUAACUGGUCUGAGAGGAUGACCAGUCACACUGGGACUGAGACACGGCCCAG